AGUUGGAAUUGCUAGUAGUCGCGAAUCAGAAUGUCGCGGUGAAUACGUUCCCGGGCCUUGUACACACCGCCCGUCACACCAUGAGAGUCGAUAACACCCGAAGCCUGUGAGCUAACCGCAAGGAGGCAGCAGUCGAAGGUGGGGUUGAUGAUUGGGGUGAAGUCGUAACAAGGUAAC
rnacentral:rRNA from 1 species